GACGAACGCUGGCGGCGUGCUUAACACAUGCAAGUCGAACGGAAAGGCCCUGCUUUCAGGGUACUCGAGUUGCGAACGGGUGAGUAACACGUGGGUGAUUUGCCCUUCACUUCGGGAUAAGCCUGUGAAACUGGGUCUAAUACCGGAUAGGAGCCAUUUUUAGUGUGAUGGUUGGAAAGUUAUUUCGGUGUAGGAUGAGCUCACGGCCUAUCAGCUUGUUGGUUAGGUAAUGGCCUACCAAGGCGGCUACCGGUAGCCGGCCUGAGAGGGUGGACAGCCACAUUGGGACUGAGAUACGGACCAGACUCGUACGGGACGCAGCAGUGGGGAAUAUUGCAGAAUGGGCGCAAGUCUGAUGCAGCGACGCCGCGUGGGGGAUGACGGCCUUCGGGUUGUAAACUAAUUUCGCUAGGGACGAAGCUUUUGUGACGGUACCUAGAUAAGAAGCACCGGCUAACUACGUG
rnacentral:rRNA from 1 species